UGGGGAAUUUUGGACAAUGGACGCAAGUCUGAUCCAGCCAUGCCGCGUGCGGGAAGAAGGCCUUCGGGUUGUAAACCGCUUUUGUCAGGGAAGAAACGAGUUUCUCUAAUACAGAGACUUAAUGACGGUACCUGAAGAAUAAGCACCGGCUAACUACGUGCCAGCAGCCGCGGUAAUACGUAGGGUGCGAGCGUUAAUCGGAAUUACUGGGCGUAAAGCGUGCGCAGGCGGUUUCGUAAGACAGACGUGAAAUCCCCGGGCUCAACCUGGGAACUGCGUUUGUGACUGCGAGGCUAGAGUUUGGCAGAGGGGGGUGGAAUUCCGCGUGUAGCAGUGAAAUGCGUAGAUAUGCGGAGGAACACCGAUGGCGAAGGCAAUCCCCUGGGCCUGCACUGACGCUCAUGCACGAAAGCGUGGGGAGCAAACA
rnacentral:rRNA from 1 species